GCAACAAGCAUGCAGGCAAGGCUCCUCCGCCUUGGGGAAAAGAUAUCCCAACGGCAGCACCCGCCACUAAAAUCGGCUCAAAGUGAUCUGUGUUCAGGAUGGCCCUCAAGGAUGCUGUGCCUCUGUCUUGGCAUGAUGACAAGCCAGGGCUGUCACAGCCGCUGGCACAGAUCAGGCACAAAGGCACAAAAGUGACUAACUUCAGGAACCAGCGGCUGGAAAGCAAACCCAGUUUCAGGUCAGAAAAACACACUGGCUUUCAAAUGCUUUGUUUUGUUUUUGUUUUUUGUUUUUGUUUUUGUUUCAGCUCUCCAUAGCUGAACUCCUGGCACAAGAAGAGAACAGAAAACGCACCCAUGCCUUACCGUGAAGACAGGGCCAUGCGCAGGAGUUAGGGAAUCACUAUUAAGACCAACAGGACAUAAACAAUUGUGUGGUUUGUGACUCCUAGUUGCCCAACACAGGCAACAUAAUGACGUCAGUGUGUCUACACCUACAACAGAGUGACGUCAGUAUGUCCACAUCGACUCUGAGGAUUCAUCUGGGUUUGAAGUUGAUUUAACGGGGUCUGAAGUUGAUUUAACAGGAGACAGAACCAGUUUGGCUUCCUGAUGUUUCUGAGGGCCCAUUCCCGACCUGUUCUGCUUUGUCAGUGGGAUGGCUGAGCCUUCCAGGCAGCACCACCAGGCCACCGAAGGCACUAGAAGGAGGCUGCAUUCUCCAUAGUGAGAGGCUCUGCUAACAGAUCAAAGGCAGACAACUCAACUGAAAAACUGGGCAACGGAUAUAAAUGAGCAAUUCAGAGAAGAAUGGAAGUAGCGAACAGACAGGAGAAGAGACACGUGACUUUAGUUGCAGUUACAAAGAAAGCCAAUGAAAGUAAUCGUGUACGGGUAUGGCUGGACCAGACAGAGGCCCAUCACCAUCUUCAGAGGCACGAGGACACCGGGAAGAUGCAGGAUUCGAUGGAACGAUAGGACCUGUGGGAUAGGAGGCAUGCAUGGCACUGCCAGAAGACGCGGGGCUCUCAGCUCAGUGUGGAGCUGACCUGACCCAGAAGCAUAGGACAGUGUCCCAGGAGGGUGCCCUCAUGCAUAUGCACACACAGGGGUGAGUGAAUCUGAAAAGCAAGAGAUUAAAAUAAAAAGGCAGUGGGAGAGAUGUUCAAUAAAAUAAGGGCUAGGCCCUGACCUUGCUUGGCUCUGUACGAAAAGACUCAACUCACAAUCUCUACAAGGACU